rnacentral:rRNA from 1 species
UACGAGAGGUCCAAGCGUUAGUCGGAAUCACUGGGCUUAAAGGGUGCGUAGGCGGGCCUGUAAGUGUUCUGUGAAAUCCCAUGGCUCAACCAUGGAAUCGCAGGGCAUACUGCGGGCCUCGAGGAAGCUAGAGGCCGGUGGAACGAUAGGUGGAGCGGUGGAAUGCGUAGAUAUCUAUCGGAACGCCAAAGGUGAAGACAGCCGCUGGGGCUUCCUGACGCUGAGGCACGAAAGCGUGGGGAUCAAACAGGAGUUAGAA